CGCGUAGGCGGCCUUGCGUGUCUUCCGUGAAAUCCCUCGGCUCAACUGAGGACGUGCGGAAGAAACUGCAGGGCUCGAGUCCGGGAGAGGGGGUGGAAUUCCCAGUGUAGCGGUGAAAUGCGUAGAUAUUGGGAGGAACACCGGUGGCGAAGGCGGCCCCCUGGACCGGUACUGACGCUGAGGCGCGAAAGCGUGGGGAGCAAACG
rnacentral:rRNA from 1 species